UGCCAGUUGUACUGCAGAAGAAUGAAUUUCAGUAUCUGGUGUUUCUCUGAGAGUAAAAGCUCUGCUUUCCCAGCUCCCGCAGGAUGCUAAGAUGCUGUACCCCAAAAAAACUUGUGAGAAGAACUAUUAUGGGUGUCUGUGUUGCGGGACUCAGAGCCUGGGCUACUCUUUAAAAACGGGAUUGUAUAAGAA